UUCCGGUUGAUCCUGCCGGACCCUAUUGCUAUCGGGAUGAGACUAAGCCAUGCUAGUUGUGCGCUUCCUAGCUAUGUUGGAAGAGCAGCAAACGGCUCCGUAACACGUAGUUAAUCUGCCCUUAGGACAGACAUAACCUUGGGAAACUGAGGCUAAUAUCUGAUAGGUGGAAACGCCUGGAAUGGUCUUCCGCUUAAAGGUUUUUGGACACACGCGUCCAAGAAUGCCUAAGGAUGAGACUGCGGCCGAUCAGGCUGUUGGUGGGGUAACGGCUCACCAAACCUAUAACCGGUACGGGCCCCGAGAGGGGGAGCCCGGAGAUGGGAACUGAGACAAGGUCCCAGGCCCUACGGGGCGCAGCAGGCGCGAAAUCUCCACAAUGCGCGAAAGCGUGAUGGGGUUAUCCCGAGUGCCGUCCGUUGAGGAGGGCUUUUCCCCAGUGUAAGGAGCUGGGGGAAUAAAGGGGGGGCAAGACUGGUGUCAGCCGCCGCGGUAAUACCAGCCCCCUGAGUUAUAGGGACGAUGAUUUAGCCUAAAGCGUUCGUAGCCGGCUUAGCAAGUCUUUCGUUAAAUCUAACGACUUAAUCGUUAGGCCGCGGAAGAUACUGCUAGGCUUGAGGGCGGGAGAGGUCGACGGUAGUCCCGGGGUAGGGGUGAAAUCCAAUAAUCCCGGGAGGACCACCAGUGGCGAAGGCGGUCGACCAGAACGCGCCUGACGGUGAUGGACGAAAGCUGGGGGAGCGAACCGGAUUAGACACCCGGGUAGUCCCAGCUGUAAACGAUGCGAGCUAGGUGUUGGGGCAGCCACGAGCUGCUCCAGUGCCGCAGAGAAGUUGUUAAGCUCGCCGCUUGGGGAGUACGGCCGCAAGGUGAAACUUAAAGGAAUUGGCGGGGAGCACACAAGGGGUGAAGCCUGCGGUUUAUUGGACUCAACGCCGGUAAUC
rnacentral:rRNA from 1 species